rnacentral:lncRNA from 1 species
UUUUUUCCAGAAUUUUUGGGGGCUAGAAAGCAUGAAAAAUGAGGGGGAAAUAGUGCAUUUAUUUAUAGGUAAAGUAAGUGAGUAAGUGGGGGGAACCAAAUAUCCUUUGUGCAAAAAAAAAGGCUUAUUUUUGGUCUCUGUGCAGUGGAAAUCGAUUUACCUAAUUGGGUAAAUAGAUUUCCCUAUUAUUUUUUAUUUUAAUUUUUUUUAAUAUUUUUUUAAAAUUCAUGCCUUGAGGCCAUGCAAU